UCCGGUUUGUCACCGGCAGUCUCAUUAGAGUGCCCUUUCGCAGCACCUGUCACCGGUCCAGCCGAACUGAAGGGAUCGAUCUCUCGAUCCCGCGACCGGGAUGUCAAACGCUGGUAAGGUUCUGCGCGUUGCUUCGAAUUAAACCACAUGCUCCACCGCUUGUGCAGGCCCCCGUCAAUUUCUUUGAGUUUUAACCUUGCGGCCGUACUCCCCAGGCGGAUGACUUAAUGCGUUAGCUGCGCCACCGAAAGCCCAUGGCCCCCGACAGCUAGUCAUCAUCGUUUACGGCGUGGACUAC
rnacentral:misc_RNA from 1 species